GAUUACGGCCAUACCACACUGACAACGCCCGAUCUCGUCUGAUCUCGGAAGCUAAGCAGAGCUGGGCUGGGUCAGUACUUGGAUGGGUGACCGCCUGGGAAUACCCGGUGCUGUAAGCA
rnacentral:rRNA from 1 species